rnacentral:rRNA from 1 species
AUUGAACGCUGGCGGCAUGCCUUACACAUGCAAGUCGAACGGUAACAGGUUAAGCUGACGAGUGGCGAACGGGUGAGUAAUGUAUCGGAACGUGCCCAGUCGUGGGGGAUAACUGCUAGAAAGAGCAGCUAAUACCGCAUACGACCUGAGGGUGAAAGCGGGGGAUCGCAAGACCUCGCGCGAUUGGAGCGGCCGAGAUCAGAUUAGGUAGUUGGUGGGGUAAAGGCCUACCAAGCCUACGAUCUGUAGCUGGUCUGAGAGGACGACCAGCCACACUGGGACUGAGACACGGCCCAGACUCCUACGGGAGGCAGCAGUGGGGAAUUUUGGACAAUGGACGCAAGUCUGAUCCAGCCAUGCCGCGUGCGGGAAGAAGGCCUUCGGGUUGUAAACCGCUUUUGUCAGGGAAGAAAAGGUUCUGGUUAAUACCUGGGACUCAUGACGGUACCUGAAGAAUAAGCACCGGCUAACUACGUGCCAGCAGCCGCAGUAA